UACCAGCACCCCGAGUGGUCGGGACGUUUAUUGGGCCUAAAGCAUCCGUAGCCGGUUCUAAAAGUCUUCCGUUAAAUCCAACUGCUUAACAGGUGGGCUGCGGAAGAUACUAUAGAGCUAGGAGGCGGGAGAGGCAAGCGGUACUCGAUGGGUAGGGGUAAAAUCCGUUGAUCCAUUGAAGACCACCAGUGGCGAAGGCGGCUUGCCAGAACGCGCUCGACGGUGAGGGAUGAAAGCUGGGGGAGCAAACCGG
rnacentral:rRNA from 1 species